rnacentral:ribozyme from 13 species
UUUCUCUCUCUCCUUCUCUCUCUCUUUCUCUCUCUUUUUGUUACAUUUAUACACACAGAAAAGAAGAAGCUUUUGCUGUAUCUGGAUGAAGACUAAUUGAAAUUAGAGGUAAUCGCACUU